UCGAUGUGUGUAAUUAAAAUUUAAGAAUAAUUUGUUUUGGAAAAAUUUCUAUAUUGUUGUACUAUAAAUUCAGGAUCAUAUCUCAUGUUCAUCAAGAUUGAGAACUUUUGGGGUCUUUGAAAGAGCUAUUUUGUCCAUCCAAACUAAAAGUAAAACUUUGUUGGAAAAGAAGAUGAAUGGCAAAUGUUGAUUUUGUGUUUGUCUGAGGGAAGUGUCCACAAAGAGCGAACUAGUGCUUCAUUUUUUGAGAAAAGAAGAUUAGAAUAACCCAUGAACAUUUUAUGAAGAUCAUGAAGUGUUAGAGGAAAAACACCACAGGGUCAGAAAUC
rnacentral:lncRNA from 1 species